UGAUUCUAGUGUCACUACCACAGGUGUUCAUGAGAAAUUUCUUCCAAGUGGGUGCAAAAGACCUUUGGAUUAUUUUAGGUGCAGGGACUGGUAGCAGGAGAUGGUGCCCUUGUCUUUGGGCAAGGCCAAUGGUGCUUGGAAGAUGUUCCAUAGCUACAAUGUUUAAAGAUUCAGCAUCUGACUCUUCAUGUGGAAUCAGAUUUUCAAACCAAGCAAGGGUAUAUAAAAAUGCAUUAUGCACAUUUGAACGUCUGCAUGUGUGAAGCUCUCGACAGUUCUGAUCAUAAGGAUUCUAUUGAUCUAAAUGGGUUAUUCUGUAGAAAAUCCUGUGAAUAAAUAAAAUAAUGACAGAAACA
rnacentral:lncRNA from 1 species